UACGUAGGGUGCGAGCGUUAAUCGGAAUUACUGGGCGUAAAGCGUGCGCAGGCGGUUUUGUAAGCCAGAUGUGAAAUCCCCGGGCUCAACCCGGGAACUGCGUCCGAUACUGGCAGGCUUGAAUUCGGGAGAGGGAUGCGGAAUUCCAGGUGUAGCGGUGAAAUGCGUAGAUAUCUGGAGGAAUACCGGUGGCGAAGGCGGCAUCCUGGACCGGCAUUGACGCUGAGGAGCGAAAGCCAGGGGAGCAAACGGG
rnacentral:rRNA from 1 species